UACGUAGGUGGCAAGCGUUGUCCGGAAUUAUUGGGCGUAAAGCGCGCGCAGGUGGUCCUUUAAGUCUGAUGUGAAAGCCCACGGCUCAACCGUGGAGGGUCAUUGGAAACUGGGGGACUUGAGUGCAGGAGAGAAGAGUGGAAUUCCACGUGUAGCGGUGAAAUGCGUAGAUAUCUGGAGGAACACCGGUGGCGAAGGCGGCGUUCUGGACUGCAACUGACACUGAUGAACGAAAGCCAGGGGAGCAAACGGG
rnacentral:rRNA from 1 species